GGCGAGUGAAGAGGGAAAAGCUCAAAGUUGGAACCUGGUAGGCAUAGCUUACCCGGAUUGUAAACUAAAGUUUUCGAGUCGUUUAGUCAGCCAGGUAAAUAAGUCCUCUGGAAAGGGGCGACAUAGAGGGUGAAAUCCCCGUCUUUGGCCUGAGUUUUGAUUAGGCGUUUGGCUUGGAAACGAAGAGUCAGGUUGUUUGGGAAUGCAGCCUAAAAUGGGAGGUAAAUCUCUCCUAAAGCUAAAUAUUGACGAAAGACCGAUAGCGAACAAGUACCGUGAGGGAAAGAUGAAAAGCACUUUGAAAAGAGGGUCAAAAAGUACGUGAAAUUGCUGAAAGGGAACCGUAUGAAAUCAGAUCUACUGGUAGGUAAUCAAUCUUUCCUUUGGGAAGGAUGCACUUGCCUACUAUGUAUGCCAGCGACAUUUUGGUUGGGAGGAAAAAAAUAAAGGAAAUGUAGCUUAGGUUUCGGCUUAGGUGUUAUAGUCCUUUAUAAAAUACUCUCGGCUGGAAUGAGGAACGCAGCAAACCGUAAGGCGAAGAUUUCAGGCGCUUAGAGGGAAUAAUUAGAGAAUUUCUGCUUCGGGUGGUGCUUUGAUUAUUACCUUUAACACGCUUGGAGUUCUUUUAAUU
rnacentral:rRNA from 1 species